GGUCAGAAUGUUAAACUAGUUUAUAACAAUGAUACACAAUUUAAUAUAACCGACGAUUUACUAUUGGCUUAUCGGAAUAAACAUUAAACUAAAAAUAGAUAUAAUGAAACAAGUAAAAUUCGAUAAUUUAUCAUUUGAAUUUUUUAAUUACAUAAUCAAACACUGGCUAAGUGGCAAGGGUUCUAAAAUAUUAAAGGCAAGAAUAAAGAUGAUGCUAAUUAGUAGAAUAUAUU